GUCAAAGCUUAACUAAUCAUUACUACAUAAUUCUUAUAUUUACAUAUACCCCUUCUACAUUAUUAAGCAAUUCUACAUUACUGUAGAAAUUUUUAUGUUAAAACUAGUAACAAGAAGACAAACUUCUCUUAAAUGUAAGUGUAAAUCAGCAAGGAUAAUCCACUGAUAUUUAUCGUGAUUGAAUUUAAAGUAGCAACUUAUCAAGAAAACUCUACCCUAAUACACGUUAACCUAACACAAGAACAUCUCAAGAAAGAUUAAAAGAAAAAGAAGGAACUCGGCAAACCUUAACCUCGCCUGUUUACCAAAAACAUCGCCUUUUGAUAUAAAUAUAAAAGGUCCAGCCUGCCCAGUGACAUUGUUCAACGGCCGCGGUAUCCUAACCGUGCGAAGGUAGCGUAAUCACUUGUUCUUUAAAUGAGGACUAGUAUGAAUGGCACCACGAGGGUUAUACUGUCUCCUUUCUCUAAUCAGUGAAACUUAAUCCCCCCGUGAAGAAGCGAGGAUAAAUUUAUAAGACGAGAAGACCCUAUGGAGCUUUAAACUAAAUAACAUAUAAUACCCAUUUUCAAGAAGCAUCAUGAUUAUUAGUUUUAGGUUGGGGUGACCGCGGAGUAAAAAACAACCUCCACAUUGAAAGGAUCCUAAACUUAGAGCUACAUCUCCAAGUAUCAAAAAAUUGACACCAAUUGACCCAAUUUAUUGAUCAACGAACCAAGUUACCCUAGGGAUAACAGCGCAAUCUACUUCAAGAGCCCCUAUCGACAAGUAGGUUUACGACCUCGAUGUUGGAUCAGGGUAUCCCAGUGGUGCAGCCGCUACUAAAGG
rnacentral:rRNA from 1 species